rnacentral:rRNA from 1 species
UACAGAGGGUGCGAGCGUUGUUCAGAGUUACUGGGCGUAAAGGGUGUGUAGGCGGUUGUUUAAGUUUGGUGUGAAAUCUCCCGGCUCAACUGGGAGGGUGCGCCGAAUACUGAAUGACUUGGAGUGCGGGAGAGGAAAGUGGAAUUCCUGGUGUAGCGGUGAAAUGCGUAGAUAUCAGGAGGAACACCGGUGGUGUAGACGGCUUUCUGGACCGUAACUGACGCUGAGACACGAAAGCGUGGGUAGCAAACAGG